CAACGAAAGGAAUGCAUUAUCUAGGUUUUUGAACAGUAUUUUUCCCCUGAGAUUACUUUUGAAGUAUUUAGGUUAGGGUUUCAUUUGUGAACAGAAUGAAAAUUGCAUAUGUAUAUUGGGAAGAGAUUUGGAGGUUGAGAUUGCUUAGAAAGAAGCCAAGUGGCCUGAAAUGAGAUACUGCUUCAUUUAGGGGAAAACAGCAAACAAACAAAAAACAACCAUGAUCUUUGAAAUACCCUAAAGGCAACUAAAAGUAUUAUUUAAAUAAAAAUACAUGCCUAGGAGUUCCCAGGCUAGGGGUCGAAUCAGAGCUGUAGCCACUCGCCUACACCACAGCCACAGCAACGCGGGAUCCGAGCUGCAUCUGCAACCUACACAGUGCACAGCAACGCCAGACCCUUAACCCAUUGAGCAAGGCCAGGGAUCGAACCCACAACCUCAUGGUUCCUAGUCGGAUUCGUUAACCACUGUGCGACGACGGGAACUCCCACACACACAAAAAUCUUAGUAGUUGACCUCAUAAUUGAGACAGAAAAAAAAUGACCUACAACAUUCUUAACAGUUUCACAUUUCUGUUCUUAUUUAAUCAAUCUGUGGGCUACAUCACCUGUGUAGUUUCUUUCAUGUUCUGUUUCCUCUAGUUUUGUAAUUGCAAACUUACAUAUUAUUUACAUGCACUUAGAAUUGUUAUAUUUUCUCUUUCUAUUUAAAUACUCAGAGCAUAGUUUGGCUUGACUUAUGGUGGUAUAUUUUCUACACUCUAGGAUAGGUGGAUUUUCCCCCCAAAAUCCAACUUAUUUAACUUUCAGUUGAACUUAUUUUUUUUUAUUAUAAAGUUAAUACAACCAUGGUUAUAUUCAUGGUUAACAAUUAUGGAGAACAGCAACAACAAAUUGUGGAGAACUGAAAAGGGGGCUGUCACCAUCUGGCACAUAAACUGUUAGUAUUUGGGGCGUUCUCUUGUGCACAGUGGGUAGAGGAUCCGGCAUGGUCACUGCAGUGGCUCAGGUCACUACGAUGGCGCAAGUUCAGUCCCUGGCCCCGGAACUUCCCCAUGGGUCAGGGCGGGGAGGUAGGGGAGGGGGGCAAAAAAAGAAAACCCAACCUUAGUACUUUGAUGUGGUCCCCUCUUUUCCCUAUACACAGAACUUUUUUUCUGGAAUUGCCAUAUCUUACUGAAAAUAUAUAUGUGAAAACAUCUUGUACAAUACCUGCCAUUGAGUAAGUGUUCAAUGGUUGGUUCUUUUUCUCCCCUCCCCUCCUUUUCUUGCGUUUGUCAUCUCUUCCUGCUUGUUCUCAGAUUAGAAGAGAAGGAGAUUGGAUUUCCCUAGCCCAGGUUUUGAGGUUGGUGAAAUUUUAUUUCCACCUUCCAUUCUGUGCCUCUUCCCUGCCCUUUCCGCCCCUUUGACCCUGCCUCCCUCUUUCUGGCUGAAAUAGGCCUCCCCUUUGUCUCUCUGCAUUGUCUCAGUGUUGCUUGUUCAUUUAGAUCAGGGGCCACAAAUUGGCAGCCAAAAGCCACCUUCAGUCACAGACAUGCUUAAAAAUGAGAACAUUUUAGGAGUUCCUGUUGUGGCUUAGCAGGUUAAGAACCUGACAUAGUGUCCAUGAGGAUGUGGGUUCGAUCUCUGGCCUUGCUCAGUAGGUUAAAGCGUUCGCACUGCUGUGAGCUGUGGUGUAGGUUGCAGAUGCGGCUGGGAUCCCAUGUUGCUGUGGCAGUGGCAUAGGCUGGCAGCUAUGGCUCUGCUUUAACCCCUAGCUUGGGAGCCCCACCUGCUCCAGGUGUGGUUAUAAAAAGAAAAUUUAAAUAAUUGGUACAUUUUAUAUUAAAAUGUGGCUUUUCAGCCUUUCUUGAAAGAUUAGAAGAUCUUAACAAAACUGGGUCCACAUGGAGUUCCCGUCGUGGUGCAGUGGUUAACGAAUCUGAGUAGGAACCAUGAGGUUACAGGUUUGAUCCCUGGCCUUGCUCAGUGGGUUAAGGAUCUGGCAUUGCUGUGAGCUGUGGUGUAGGUUGCAGAGGCGGCUCGGAUCCUGCGUUGCUGUGGCUGUGGUGUAGGCCGGUGGCUACAGCUCCGAUUCGACCCCUCACCUGGGAACCUCCAUAUGCUGAGGGAGCGGCCCAAGAAAUGGCAGAAAGACAAAAAAAAACCAAAAACAAAAACAACUGGGUCCACAUUUCAACAUAGCAAGAACACCCUGGAACUAAGUAGUGGCUCCCUCCUCAGGAUAUACAGUCUCCUUUUGAUAUAGUCUCCAUCAUUCCCUAUUGUUUGCCAGCUACUCAUGGCUUAUUUACAUUACGUGUCAAUUAUACCACAUAACAUUAACUUACAUUACCUGGACUCUUGAAUAUGCAGGGCCUUUAUCUAAGUAGGGCAAGUCUGAAGCCAUGAUAUGAUGGAAAGUCUGCUGCUGGACUAGGCAUUAGGAAUCUGGACUUUAAUUGUUGUAGAUAUAUACGGAGUUCCCACUGUGCCUCAGUGGUAAUGAACCCGACUAGUAUCCAUGAGGAUGCAAUUUCAAUCCCUGGCCUUGAUCAGUGGAUUAGGUAUCUGGCAUUAUCAUGAGCUGUGGUGUAGGUCGCAGACGUGGCUUGGAUCCCGCAUUGCUGUGGCUGUGCUGUAGGCAUUGGUGGAGCUACAACUCCAAUUCGACCCCUAGCCUGGGAACUUCCAAAUGCUGCAGGUGUGCCCCUAAAAAUACAAAAAGAAAAAAAAA
rnacentral:lncRNA from 1 species